GAGGGCAUAGCUCAGUGGUAGAGCACAUACUUAGCAUGCACGAGGUCCUGGGUUCAAUCCCCAGUACCUCCA
rnacentral:tRNA from 1 species